UUGCUGUGUUUCUGAAGUGCAGAGGCAGCAAUGCGAUGCUUCUGUGGAUGCCAUGCCCUGAGGUAUACAGACAAUAUUGAAAAAGUUUGCAGCCAAAAGAAAGGAGGUUUUGUUGUCACAGAUCGGUAAAAAUAGAAAUGGAUCCAAAGAGAUACACCUAAUUCCAUGUUCAAGAUUAUGCACAAGACCAAAUGGUGGUGGAUCUUCACAACAUGCAACAGCUGAACAUAACUUCAAAACUGGUUCUGGUUUCAAGAAGCCAUUUGACCAUGGAGCAGGACAGCAAUCCAGAUGUUGCUGCAUCAAGGGAGCAAUUCACUCAAGCUGGAGAUUAGAAUGAAGACUCAUAUGCCUUGGCUUUCACAU